UACGAAGGGGGCUAGGCGUUGCUCGGAAUCACUGGGCGUAAAGGGUGCGUAGGCGGGUCUUUAAGUUCAGGGGUGAAAUCCGUGGAAGCUCAACUCCAGAACUGCCCUUUGAUACUGGCGAUCUUGAGUUCCGGGAGAGGUGAGUGGAACUGCGAAGUGUAGAGGUGAAAUUCGUAGAUAUUCGCAAGAACACCAGUGGCGAAGGCGGCUCACUGGCCCGGUACUGACGCUGAGGUGCGAAAGCGUGGGGAGCAAACAGG
rnacentral:rRNA from 1 species